rnacentral:rRNA from 1 species
UACGGAGGGUGCAAGCGUUAUCCGGAUUCACUGGGUUUAAAGGGUGCGUAGGCGGUUUGGUAAGUUGGAUGUGAAAUCUCCAGGCUCAACUUGGAGGGGUCAUUCGAUACUGCCAUGACUAGAGUUCGGUAGGGGAGUGUGGAAUUCCUGGUGGAGCGGUGAAAUGCGCAGAUAUCAGGAGGAACACCGGUGGUGUAGACGGCUUUCUGGACCGUAACUGACGCUGAGACACGAAAGCGUGGGUAGCAAACAGG